rnacentral:rRNA from 1 species
UACGAAGGGGGCUAGCGUUGCUCGGAAUCACUGGGCGUAAAGCGCACGUAGGCGGAUCUUUAAGUCAGGGGUGAAAUCCUGGAGCUCAACUCCAGAACUGCCUUUGAUACUGGGGAUCUCGAGUCCGGGAGAGGUGAGUGGAACUCCGAGUGUAGAGGUGAAAUUCGUAGAUAUUCGGAAGAACACCAGUGGCGAAGGCGGCUCACUGGCCCGGUACUGACGCUGAGGCACGAAGGCCAGGGGAGCAAACGGG